rnacentral:rRNA from 1 species
GACGAACGCUGGCGGCGUGCUUAACACAUGCCAGUCGAACGGAAAGGCCUCUUUCGGGGGGUACUCGAGUGGCGAACGGGUGAGUAACACGUGAGUAACCUGCCCUUGACUUUGGGAUAACUUCAGGAAACUGGGGCUAAUACCGGAUAGGAGCUCCUGCUGCAUGGUGGGGGUUGGAAAGUUUCGGCGGUUGGAGAUGGACUCGCGGCUUAUCAGCUUGUUGGUGGGGUAGUGGCUUACCAAGGCUUUGACGGGUAGCCGGCCUGAGAGGGUGACCGGCCACAUUGGGACUGAGAUACGGCCCAGACUCCUACGGGAGGCAGCAGUGGGGAAUAUUGCACAAUGGGUGGAAGCCUGAUGCAGCAACGCCGUGUGCGGGAUGACGGCCUUCGGGUUGUAAACCGCUUUCGCUCAUGACGAAGCUUUGUGUGACGGUAGUGGGUAAAGAAGCACCGGCUAACUACGUG